rnacentral:rRNA from 1 species
CCUACGGGUGGCUGCAGUGGGGAAUAUUGGACAAUGGGGGGAACCCUGAUCCAGCCAUGCCGCGUGUGUGAAGAAGGCCCUCGGGUUGUAAAGCACUUUCAGUGAAGAAGAACGCCUGGUGGUUAAUACCCAUCAGGAAAGACAUCACUCACAGAAGAAGCACCGGCUAACUCCGUGCCAGCAGCCGCGGUAAUACGGAGGGUGCGAGCGUUAAUCGGAAUUACUGGGCGUAAAGCGCGCGUAGGUGGCUUGAUAAGCCGGUUGUGAAAGCCCCGGGCUCAACCUGGGAACGGCAUCCGGAACUGUCAAGCUAGAGUGCAGGAGAGGAAGGUAGAAUUCCCGGUGUAGCGGUGAAAUGCGUAGAGAUCGGGAGGAAUACCAGUGGCGAAGGCGGCCUUCUGGACUGACACUGACACUGAGGUGCGAAAGCGUGGGUAGCAAACAGGAUUAGAUACCCGUGUAGUC